GCCCGGUUAGCUCAAUCGGUAGAGCGUGAGACUCUUAGCACGACAUCUCAAGGUUGCGGGUUCGACCCCCGCAUCGGGCU
rnacentral:tRNA from 1 species